GAGUUUGAUCCUGGCUCAGGACGAACGCUGGCGGCGUGCCUAAUACAUGCAAGUCGAGCGGACUUAUCCUUCGGGAUCAGUUAGCGGCGGACGGGUGAGUAACACGUAGGUAACCUGCCUUUAAGACUGGGAUAACUAUCGGAAACGAUAACUAAGACCGGAUAAUUGGUUUCUCCGCAUGGAGAGACUAUGAAACACGGAGUAAUCUGUGGCUUAUUGAUGGGCCCGCGGCGCAUUAGCUAGUUGGUGAGGUAAUGGCUCACCAAGGCGACGAUGCGUAGCCGACCUGAGAGGGUGACCGGCCACACUGGGACUGAGACACGGCCCAGACUCCUACGGGAGGCAGCAGUAGGGAAUCUUCCGCAAUGGACGCAAGUCUGACGGAGCAACGCCGCGUGAGUGAUGAAGGUUUUCGGAUCGUAAAGCUCUGUUGCCCUAGACGAACAGCAUGAGGAGUAACUGCCUUGUGUGUGACGGUAUAGGAGAAGAAAGCCCCGGCUAACUACGUGCCAGCAGCCGCGGUAAUACGUAGGGGG
rnacentral:rRNA from 1 species